rnacentral:lncRNA from 1 species
AGCAACUCAAAGAUCAAACAAAGGCGAACGAAGAACGAAAUAAGAACAAGCCACGAAAUAUCAAGAACACAAGAGAGAAUAAUGUUUGAGUGAAUACUCUCAAGAACUCUUAUUAUUCCUCAAAACUCAAGUGAUUUACAAUGAGGGGAGAGGCCUCUAUUUAUAGUAGAGCCUCCCCAAAUCCAACGGUACAGAUCAAGU